GGCUGGUUGGGCAAAUUUCACUGAAUCGAAAAUUCCGAAUUGCGGACGUCCGUCACCAGCAUAUGGCCCGGUGCAUGAGUGAUCGCGAAGUCAGGCCGCGAUUGCAGAAUGACCGAUUGCGGCGUCACUCCGCACGCCNGGCACCUCGUCGGGCUGAAUGCUCACUGCGUCGCCAUAGUCAGGCUUGGAAAUAUCCUUGAUGCCGAUCAUCUCCGGCUUGUCGAAAUGCACCGGCGCACCGUGCACAGCCGGGAAACGCGUGGUGAUCUGAAUCGCGCGGAUCGCUUCCGCAGGCUUGAACGGCCGCAUCGAGACGACCAG
rnacentral:misc_RNA from 1 species